rnacentral:rRNA from 1 species
GUCCACGCCGUAACGAUGGAUACUAGCUGUUGGGAGCAAUCUCAGUGGCUAAGCGAAGUGAUAAGUAUCCCACCUGGGGAGUACGUUCGCAAGAAUGAACUCAAAGGAAUUGACGGGCCCGCACAAGCGGUGGAGCAUGUGGUUUAAUUCGAUGAUACGCGAGGAACCUUACCAAGGCUUAAAUGUAGAUUGACCGAUUUUGGAAACAGAUUUUUCGCAAGACAAUUUACAAGGUGCUGCAUGGUUGUCGU